GAAAAUGGGAACGUUUGCAGUCAGCCCUAAGCCCCGACCAGAGGCAGUUCCAGCCGCCAGGGUCCCUCACACAACGCUGAAAGCAAAAUACACGUAUUUGACGUGCCUCAGAGCUGACGAAGCACCCAAAAGCAGCCCUCACUAAAGGAGUCGAAAGAAAAAGAGAGAGGGAAGGGCAAAACAAGUAGAAGACAAACAAGUCCAGGGCUCAGGAAACUUUUCAGCCUGUCAAAGUUAGAGAAAGCUCCUUCGCUUUCUACAGGGCAGCAGCAGCCAGGUAAAAGAUGGACCUGAUAAAUCUCUUAAAUUUAAAAAACACAACACAACAAAAAAAAACUACUUCAAACAAGCAUCAACAGCUGAGCGUAAGCCACCACCUUCAUUAUCAAGAAACAACUCAAAUAAAAACUUUUCCAGUGAAAAAUAAACUUCAAGGGCUUUAACACCAGGAGUGAAUACACCACAGAUCCUGACCCUCACGUGAUGGGAAUUGGAGGGCUCUUACAGAUAAGACUCAGAGAGGCAAAGUACACACGCGUUACGUAUUAAGCAUCCUUUCCUCUUUGAUUUCUCUACUUCCCCAAUUUUUAAUCACCUAGAGGUAAAAUACUUAGAAGGUGCCUAUCACAUUUAAGACACUGAAUCAUUUAAGACAAGAAUCACUGCAGAAGUUGCAAAGGUACUUCAAAGAUACUGUCAUCAACCUGCUAAGGACCCAUUGAGAAGUUAUACAAAAGCUUCUAACAUGAGGCCAUAUAUAUGUCUCAAAAAGGACGCAAACACAAUGCUAGCAUCGUCUGUGGAAGGUGAAA
rnacentral:lncRNA from 1 species